UGGGCGCUAGUUGUGCGAACCUUCCACGGUUUGUGCGACGCAGCUAACGCAUUAAGCGCCCCGCCUGGGGAGUACGAUCGCAAGAUUAAAACUCAAAGGAAUUGACGGGGCCCCGCACAAGCAGCUGGAGCAUGCGGCUUAAUUCGACGCAACGCGAAGAACCUUACCAAGGCUUGACAUAUACAGGAAUAUGGCAGAGAUGUCAUAGCCGCAAGGUCUGUAUACAGGUGGUGCAUGGUUGUCGUCAGCUCGUGUCGUGAGAUGUUGGGUUAAGUCCCGCAACGAGCGCAACCCUCGUUCUGUGUUGCCAGCAUUUAGUUGGGGACUCACAGGAGACUGCCGGGGUUAACUCGGAGGAAGGUGGGGAUGACGUCAAAUCAUCAUGCCCCUUAUGUCUUGGGCUGCACGCAUGCUACAAUGGCUGGUACAAACGGCUGCGAUACCGCAAGGUGGAGCGAAUCCGAUAAAGCCAGUCUCAGUUCGGAUUGGGGUCUGCAACUCGACCCCAUGAAGUCGGAGUUGCUAGUAAUCGUAGAUCAGCAACGCUACGGUGAAUACGUUCCCGGGGCUUGUACACACCGCCCGUCACAUCACGAAAGUCGGUAACACCCAAAGUCAGUGGCCCAACCGCAAGGAGGGAGCUGCCAAAG
rnacentral:rRNA from 1 species